GGGCCGGUAGCUCAGCCUGGUAGAGCACCUGGCUUUUAACCAGGGGGUCGCGGGUCCGAAUCCCGUCCGGCUCA
rnacentral:tRNA from 1 species